rnacentral:lncRNA from 1 species
AAUGAAGCUUUAAAUUUGUAUGUCUGUGAGUUGCUUAGAUACUAACGUAUAAAGAUAGAUAUCACUAGAGUUGCCCUUUUAGUGUUGGCUUAUAGCAAUAUUUGUUGUUCAAAUGCACUUGUAAACUUGUCCUUAGUUGCUAAUAAUCUGCUCGUUGAUACUAGUUUGCAUAAUGUGGUCACUGCCACAUAGAACUUAUUCACUGAUUUAGUUGUAUUCUUCCAUUUCAGCUCUCUUUUGAGUUAUUUGUAUUGUAUAAGUAGUCUUUCAUUAUCAUUAAAUAGGCCUUAUCUACAUACACAUCCUCCUUGCCUUAUGUAGUUGUGAUUAGUAAUCAAUUUGUUUAGUUCACUAUUGAUCUUGUUUCAUCUCUUUAGUAGAUAUUAUGUAUAUUUUGUUUAGUUAGGAAACUUUCUCUAAUGGCUUGUCCCAUUCUUAAUUAGUUUCCACAAUUAGCUCUCAUUUUUUAAUACAAUAUCACCAUCCUUUUGUCUAGAAAUAUAAUGUUAUUAAUUAGGUUCUCAUCUCUUAAAAUUUUUUAUGUGUCUACCUUCGUCUAGAGUUAAUUACUUCAUCAUAUAUUUGAUGGAAGUUUUACCUUUUUUUUUUUUUUUUUUUAAUUCUUCUCCUCCUCCUUUGGNNNNNNNNNNNNNNNNNNNNNNNNNNNNNAACCCCUUCCGAGUCCAUGGUGGACUUCUCCUCCUAGCAUUCUCGAGUUGAGCCAUAAAGGCUUAAUAAUUUUUUUUCUCAUCAUUCGAGUCAGCCGGGCACAUAAAACAGAAGCACAGGGCUGGAAACCCAGAGACAAGCCUCCAAAAGUCCUAAGAUGGACUAUAUACAUCCAUUAUACAUUGUAUACAUUCAGUAUACGUCAAUAUACAGGUCAAAAAACGCAGGGAUACAGGGCUGAUGCGAAAUACAUG